rnacentral:misc_RNA from 1 species
UCCCAAUCGGGCAGUCCGGCUAGACACGAGUAACUAGCCGCGGGGGUUGCGCUCGUUGCGGGACUUAACCCAACAUCUCACAACACGAGCUGACGACAGCCAUGCAGCACCUGUGCAGCACCCUCGAAGGCGAGCGGCUUUCACCGCCUUGCAGCUGCAUGUCAAAUCUGGGUGAGGUUCUGCGCGUUGCGUCGAAUUAAACCACACGCUCCGCUGCUUGUGCGGGCCCCCGUCAAUUCCUUUGAGUUUUAAGCUUGCGCUCGUAGUUCCCAGGCGGGACACUUCCGCGUUAGCUGAGCCCCACACGAGGAAUGGUUACCCCGCAUAGGACGAGUGUCCAUCGUUUACGGCGUGGACUAC